rnacentral:rRNA from 1 species
UACGUAGGUGGCAAGCGUUGUCCGGAAUUACUGGGCGUAAAGCGUGCGUAGGUGGUUCGUUAAGUCCGUUGUGAAAGCCCCGAGCUCAACUUGGGAAUUGCAGUGGAUACUGGCGAGCUAGAGUGCGGUAGAGGAAGGUGGAAUUCCCGGUGUAGCGGUGAAAUGCGUAGAGAUCGGGAGGAACACCAGUGGCGAAGGCGGCCUUCUGGACCAGCACUGACACUCAAGCACGAAAGCGUGGGGAGCAAACAGG